rnacentral:rRNA from 1 species
UACGAAGGGGGCGAGCGUUGUUCGGAAUUACUGGGCGUAAAGGGCGCGCAGGCGGCCUUAGAAGUCAGAUGUGAAAGCCCCGGGCUCAACCUGGGAAUGGCAUUUGAUACUCUGAGGCUGGAGUACGGGAGAGGAGAGUGGAAUUCCCAGUGUAGAGGUGAAAUUCGUAGAUAUGCGGAGGAACACCGAUGGCGAAGGCAAUCCCCUGGACCUGUACUGACGCUCAUGCACGAAAGCGUGGGGAGCAAACAGG